rnacentral:lncRNA from 1 species
GACUUCUCUUGGUCUCCACUCAAGCUUGAGUGUUCUUUCCUUUCUCAAUCCUCACUAUCCAACUCAGGCAUGUUUGUGAUGUGACGGCCGGACUGCCACAAGUGGCGCCCGAACAGGGACCUGAGUAUCGAGGGAUCCAGUGAAGGACACCACAGAGAAGAAGGAGACCUCAACAAAAAGGCGAAGACAGUGAUUACACAGCUGAUAUGACAUAAAUAUCUGCCUUACCUUCUCAUUCCCAGGCCAAAGUAUCUGACAACCACA